UACGUAGGGUGCGAGCGUUAAUCGGAAUUACUGGGCGUAAAGCGUGCGCAGGCGGUCUGUUAAGACCGAUGUGAAAUCCCCGGGCUUAACCUGGGAACUGCAUUUGUGACUGCAUCGCUGGAGUGCGGCAGAGGGGGAUGGAAUUCCGCGUGUAGCAGUGAAAUGCGUAGAUAUGCGGAGGAACACCGAUGGCGAAGGCAAUCCCCCUGGGCCUGCACUGACGCUCAUGCACGAAAGCGUGGGGAGCAACAG
rnacentral:rRNA from 1 species